GACAGAGGAUGUAAGCGUUAUCUGGAAUGAUUGGGCAUUAAGCGUCUGUAGGUGGCUUUUUAAGUCCGUCGUUAAAUCCCGGGGCUCAACCCUGGACAGGCAGUGGAAACUACCAAGAUGGAGUAUGGUAGGGGCAGAGGGCUCGUAAAGCCGGUGGAGCGGUGAAAAUACGUAGAGAUCAGAAAGAACACCAAUGGAGAAAGCACUUUGCUGGGCCAACGACAUACACUGAGAGCACGAAAGCUAAGGGGAGAAAAGGUGGGAAUUGAUGAA
rnacentral:rRNA from 1 species